rnacentral:lncRNA from 1 species
AUCGCCGACUGUGCUCGCCGCUAUCGUUGUGCUUCGAGUGCAACUUGCUUUUGUGGGCACAGGUUCACCCAGUAAAGUCCGUUUCGUCCUUCACAGUUUGCGACUGUUUUCUUCACCGUCACUACUACGUGGAAUAAAACUAAA